GAGAUAUUUGUCCUUGGGGGUUGGAUUUUUUUAAUUAUUUAUUUGCUUUUAUUUCUUAAUCACCGCAGCUAACAAAAACAUGACUUGAGACUGCUCCAUAACCAUCAAAUCUGAACAGGGGCCCCUCAGCGCCAGUACAACCAAGCACAACAAAUCCUGGCAAGCUGUAGCAAGCGACAGCAAGAGGGAGGGGAGGCGGUGGGACACGGGCAGCGGUCCGCAAAGGCUCCCGGCUGUUGCCCGGGGCUCCGGGGCCGGAAGAAUGUACCAAUACUGGGAAGCAGCAGAUAGAAGAGGCGAAGGAGAGCUGGCGGCCAGCGACUACCCCAGGACGGAAGAGGCACGGGAGCGUCCCGGGAGCCCCUAAGCUGCCUGCCCGCCUACUGCACCCCUUUCACGCCAUGCCGCCAUCCCCAACGUUCCGACCCCGGACCUCCCGGGUCCGGUGAGGAAAUGCCUAGGCAACCGGAGCUCCGCACCAGCUGCGCAGGGGAGCGCGGUGCUGACAUGUCGACCGCCACGUAAAAGCCUCCGGCGACUCCUUCUCUGCCCCCUCCCCCCUCAGUCCUCUCCCUCCUCCCACGGCACGAUCGACGUGUCAGCCUUGAAAGUUCAUUUCCAGGCCCUGGAAGAGUCCAAUACAACGCGUGCGUUGGACAGUGAGACGUGGCACCGCAGGGUUGCAAGUGGGGCGCGUAGGCAUACCCCAGCCUGAAACUGUUACUUGCAAAAUGAAGAGGAAGAUAGAAGUGAGAAUGAAGAAUGCUUUGGAGAAAUCUAGUCAUAAUGUUUGAGGAGUAGAAAUAAUAGAAAAUACUAAUAACUCUGGUCUCUUACAUAGGUCAGAAUUUAGACUGAAAUGAUGUAAAGUCACAAACCUGAGACAUAAGGGCUAUUAAAUUUGAAUCAAGAUUCACAGAUUUUUGAACAAAUACAUAAUAAAAAUGUUUGCUUUGUCUCCUCUGCUUUUUAU
rnacentral:lncRNA from 1 species